UGUAGUUGAAGCUGGCCUCAAACUCAUAGCAGAGUGGCCUUAGCCCACAGUGUUGGGCUUGCAAGCACACUAGACUGAGAGAACCGGAUAUAUAAAGUCAGUUUCAAAGAUGUUAAAGAGGCAGGAAGAGCCCAAGGGAGGAGGCUGCCUGCAGCUGCAGCCGCGAGAGAUGGAUGUGCAGGAUCAGACACUGCCCAGCCCCUGAGCCAGGAUCCCUGUCUGUAUCUGCUGCAGCCCUGUAGACACCGGCAGGGGCAGCAGCAGCAGCAGCAGCAGCAGCAGCAGCGGAGAUUCAUCUGCUGAGAAGCUGCCACCAAGCUCAGGAUCUCGGGGGAGCUUUCCCCAGGAAGCUGUCCAGACUUCUGCAAUGGCUACCUCCUCCACCAAGGGCCACAACUGUCAGUCACCCGACUGGAGGCUGAAGCAGGGAGACACACUACACAACUUUCUUCCACUUAAGUUCUGGAGGUGGAACCCAGGCGCUCACAUCCUGGACAAGCAUUCUCUGUGGGAACACAAGCCCAGCCACCCACCUGGAACUCCAAACCAGAGUCUGCAAGCCUUCUGAAGGCAAUUAGACCAAAGAGUGACCAAGACUCUGCCCUUGUCCUUCCUUCCUCAGGCUUCCCAGGCUGCUCUACCUCCCUCAUAGACCCCUCUGCUCUCUACUGAUCUUCCCUGGAGUUCUGUCCUUAACUCUCUUAUUUAUGGAUACUAAAAUGUGAAUUUCACAUUUCCAUGUUUCAUGAAACAUUCUUGCUUUUAAAAAAAAAAUCAUUUAAAAAAAUGUGAAGCCAUUCUUAGCACCCAGGCCAUAGGAAAACAGUGGGCUAGCUUUGGCCAAAGGGCCAUCCAUAUUUUGCUGAAUGCUAGUCUGUGUGUGGUCAGAAUCAGGAUGGAAGCCCCAAAUAGUCACCUUUUCUGCCUUGCGCUUAGGAACUGUGGCCUGGCACUAAGCAUGGUGUAUUCUGCAGACAACAGCGAGUCCUGAGAUCUUCUGGGCAAAUAGCAGCAGUGAGUGGGCGGGCAGUGUGGGCGGGCUUAGGAGCGGGUGUGGCCAACUGUGGGGCAGGAGGAACCAGCAAAGGGAAGCCAGCCUUACCUGGAGGCUGCAGGCUAGCCAACUUUUCUCCACUAGCUACAGUGGGAUACAAAUAGCAACAAGCCCAGCCAUUUGUAUCCACUCUACCAACAAUCUCCACCAAAGGUAUCUGAGAGCCCGCUCCCAAGUGUUUCCUAACCGCCCCCCCCAACUGGCACAAGCCAAUGUGCAACUGUGUCCCCCACUUUUACACUUGCUGAAAUCCCCUGCUCUCCACAUGACACUGUUCCUCAGUAUUUCUGUGCCUCUCACCAGGUCGACUUGAGCAGUCUGCACAUCUGACACAGUUGGCCCUGUCCUCUCUCCUACUUGGUCUGGACCCCGACUGGCCUGGAAGCACUCUCUAGUUCUCCCUCCGGCUCCCAUCUCUGGUGUUCCCUUUUCACAGCUAUUCUUCCAGCUGCUGCUUGGUUUUUCUGAGGUGGAGUCCUGUUAUAGCCUAGGCUGCAGGAAACUGUAGAACAUGCUUUGUACUCAAAUCAGUUCUCCUGCCUCAGCCUCUCAAGUGCUGGGAUUAUAGGCGUGAACCACCACACCUGGCUUUAAGGACUCCCCUGGGGCUUUGUCUUCAACCUUUGUCCUUCUUGCAGGACGCAAUUGCCCUGAACGGUAUUUAUGGCCUCACCCCCUCCCUCUCCGUUCAGCACAUUUGCUGGCAUCUUCCAAACUCAGAACCACACAGGUUCUGAUCUGGAAUCCACCCUGACAUUCCACUGCGUGUGGUGGCUUCCACUCGAAAGUUGGGCAGCUCCAGCUCUCAGAAUGUUUUGUCUGAAGGAAAUCCUGUUCCCCGAGGAGUAAAAAUGCUACCUGUUAAGUCGACUUCAGCAGAAUACAGUAAAACGAGAGACGUUUCUGGCAUGGAAACCAACCAAUUCUGGAGGCCAAUCUGGUGGUACAUGCCAGAAAUCUCAGCACUGGAGAAGUGGAGACAGGAAGGUCAUGAGUUCAAGGCCAGUCUGGGCUAAUAGACACUACCUCAAAAUAGAUCAGAAUAGGAUGGAGAGAAUGGGAAAGAGAGAAGGGAGAGAGGAGCUAACCCUGGUUAAUGUAAUAUAUAAGGUGUUACAGGCUCAGCUUGUGGGACUCGAGAGUGACCACAUGGGCCUUGAGCUGUCACUCCUAGGCCACAAAGGCCUCCAGCCUGUGUUAAAUUUCUCACUCUUUCAGAGAGAAGAUUCGACUGGUUCUUCUUGAAUUAGGUAUGCGCCCAUUAGGCCCGACUGUGGCCAAGCACAGUAUCACCUCUUAGUAUUGCCAAAGAACAGAGAAUCGCCGGGUGGUGGUGGCACACGCCUUUAAUUCAGCACUUGGGAGGCAGAGGCAGGAGGAUUUCUGAGUUCGAGGCCAGCCUGGUCUACAGAGUGAGUUCCAGGACAGCCAGGGCUAUACAGAGAAACCCUGUCUCGAAAAAACCAAAAGAAACAAACAGAAUCAUCACUAACCCCUCAACACGGCCAUCUUCAACAUAGCCAACUGCAUGAGGUCACUCUAGGCACGCAGGAUAGGAUAAAUCUGUGUGUUAGCCGGGGGUUAUCCCAACAGCACCACAACAUUAGGGGUCUACAGAGGUCUACUCACCAACACUAAUUAAGCAUUUCACAGGCAGAUCAGCUCAGAAACCUUCCAGUUCCUUCCAAUGACAAUAAUCUGGGGCUCAGGAAUGACACCGUUGGCGACUCAGUCACCUAAGUCGUCAGUGUGGGAGUUAUCCCAACAGAUUAAACAGUCCUAGCAACUGACCUGUAAUCUCCUGAGUUUGCUCCCCACUCUAAGUGAGAGUGCUCCAUAUACCCCCUUUUUUGUUAAGAUUAUUUUAAAUUAUGUAGGUUAUGUGUGCAAGUGAAAAUGGAUCCCUGUGGCCAGAGAUCUACAGCUUCCCUCUAGGUUGGCCUUGAACUCCUAAUCUCCUACUUCCACCUCCCAAGUGCUGUAUUUAAAAGCAGGUUCCACAGCCCGGCGGUGGUGGCGCACGCCUUUAAUCCCAGCACUCGGGAAGCAGAGGCAGGCG
rnacentral:lncRNA from 1 species